UUUGGCUAGUUGGAGCCUGAUUGAGCUCGACAGAGAUACGCUGCAUAUCGUUGGGUAGCGCCACGAGUGCCACUCCGGAGUCAGGCUUUGUGCUUUCGCGUUUGUGUCGCUCAUGCCAGUUGGACUUGCUCUCCACGGACACAGUUAGUGUGGAUAGAGCCCGAUAGUCGCAACGGCAGGACGGAUGUAUUCACAGUCCGGGGACGGGUAUGCUUACAGUCCCGGUUGGUGGUCAGAUUUGACAUUUCUACAGUUGGUUAGUGUAGAGCAGAUGUGUAGUGAUCGAUAGCGGUAGAGUUACUUCAUGCUUUUCUGACUACUCUCGCUCCCUUCUGUAGACUUAGUGGGUGGACCGAUGUUGUUUUGGGCGGUACCCACUGAGGACUACUUCUUUUUACAGUAGUUCUCCACGCCCAGUUGUUAUCCAUGUUUUUGCAGAGCACAGUUUCGGCUGCUGCGCUUCUCGCGGAUCACGAUCGAGGCAAGGGCGUCGCGAGUUAGAGCCUACCCAUCGUCUGAGCUAGAGAUGCCCUACUGCAGGUAGAUGUUUUGUUUCGAGUUUCUGUACAUAGUAGACUUAACUCGCCAGUGCGAGUAGCUCUGUAUUUUGGAUUUGGACUAUGUAUACGAAACUCAGUUUGUUUAGCUUCUGUUUUCUCUAGCAGCUCUCUACUACUGUUCGUAGUAGUGUUUGAUUUACAGGUACACUGUCGCUUCGUAUACAGAAAAAUUUCUUUGUAUACGGCGGAUUUGUCGCGUGCCCGGGGAACGGGACAUCCGCGGGCGUGACAGUGUCGCGUAUUUUGGAUUUGGACCAUGAAUACGAAACUCAUUUGUUUAGCUCUGUUCUCUAGCUCUCUAACUACUUUACUGUCGUAGUCGUGUUUGAUUUACAGGUAAGCUGUCGCUUCGUAUACAGAAAAAAUUUCUUUGUAUACGGCAGAUUUGUCGCGUGCCCGGGAACGAGAACAUCCAAGGCGUGACAGAUUAAGUUUGUAUCAGAGCUUUGCUAUAGGUCGUUAGGACCUAGGAAACCUAAGUUUGGCAAACCUUAGGAAAGCAAGACGCGAGAGGCGUAAUUUAUUGCGAAAGUCAAUGAUUAUUUGUUCUAACUCCUCCUAGAGUUGAGUGAGUGACUGAAGAGUGUCUGUUUUGGCUGAGAAAUUAUGUUGGCUGCAGACGACAUAAUUUUGGAGGGAAACCAGGGACGCCUUCCAGACUUUCGUUGAUUGGGUCAAGAGUGUUUGUGUUUCAACUGACCCCGAUCUAUUCUUGCAGCUAUGUAUCGUGCCGAGGUCGACCGUCGUUGCGAGAGCGUGCCAGUUGGCGCGGGAUCGUGCGGGAUCCCUGAGAGACCUGAGCAGAUGGAGCAGAGUACUCGGCAGGAGCAGGGUGACAGACAGAGGCGAGUGCACCUCGAAUGAGUAGAGCAGAGGGCCGACCGAGGCUAGCGCUCCCUGAUCUUAGUGCACAGUUGGCUGCCCUGACUGAGGUGACGAGGCAGCAGGGGGAGUUAUUGCAGAGGUUGUGUGAGAAGAUAGCUCAGCCACCGAGUUCAGUACCGAGAGUACCAGAGUCGCCAGUUCCACCCCCGAUUACUCCAGUGACCGCACUAGCUGCAGCAGUUCCUCCGUCGGCAGCAGUUCCAGUAGCGCCAGUUGCGUCUGCUAGGGGGCGAGUACCGUUGACUGAGGCCGAGCAGGAGCGCUGGACGGAGAGGUUAGCACGUUUUCGUCGAUUUGACCCACCGAUCUUCGACGACAGAGGCACUGAGGCCUGGAUUGUUGAGGGAUAGGUCAGUGCGAUGGAGAAGUUAUUCAAGAAUCUGUUCGUUCCAGAGUGGGAGCAGGUACCUUUGGGAGUACACUGUCUGUCAGGUGAUGCACAUGAUUAGUGGCGCAGAGCGAGGCGAGACCAGGGACUGGUGGCGACACAGUUGAGGUGGGAUGAGUUCUGUGGAAUGCUGUAUGGGAUGUAUUUCCCCAACAGCAUGAAACAGAAGAUCGAGGAGGAUUUGAAGAGGAUCCAGCAGGGUGAGCGGACAGUUCAGGAGUAUGUUCGGAAGUUUACUAGGCUCCUGAACUGUGUUCCGUUCGUGGCCAGAGACGAGGCACAUAGGGUCUAUUUGUUCGAGCAGGGUUUGAGACCCGACCUAUUCAGGUUCGUUAGAGCGCAGAGGUCGAGGACUUUGGAUGCAUCCAUUGAGCAGGCAUUAUGGGAGGAGAGAGGAGAGGUGUCGCUGCGGGAGAGGGCUCAGGGGCCGGGACAGAGUCAGGACAGGAAGCGCCCAGCUCCAGACGACGGAGGUCAGGCGAGUAGCAGGCUCCCGCCGAGGCCUCCACGAUCGCGUUCGCAGGGUCGAGGAUCCUCGGGGCGUCAGCGAUCUAGGGAUUCUCGUCAGAGGGGACAGCCAGAGAGGAUGCCGUAGUGUGUGAUCUACGGAGGACCACACUGGCCCAGACAGUGCGAGCAGAGGGAGGGCCGGUGCUACGGAUGUGGUCAGCCGGGACACAUGAGGGCAGCUUGUCCUCGAGCAGCAUCUCCAGCACCAUCAUCAGCUUCAGCUCCACCAGCACCUCAGCGGUCAUUCAGAGCAGCACCCAGUUACCGCUAGGAGGAUAGAUCUUCCGUGCCGCGACAGGGUGAGCGGCGACAGCAGGCUCCGAGUGGCAGAGUCUAUGCAGUACAGGUGGAGGACUCUACGGCAGCCGACCGAGUGGUGGCAGGUAUCACUUUGAUUUUCGGCAUUCGUACUCGUACUCUUUUUAAUACUGGAGCCUCGCAUUCUUUUGUUAGCCGAGCAUUUGCAUUGUUGCAUGGUCUAGAGUUAGAGUCCUUAUCGCAGGCACGAGAGGUGCAGAUCCCCGACCAUGUCUUGCAGGUUACAGAGUGUUGUUGGUCCUGUCCGGUGCAGUUAGACUCUUGGGUUAUGCUCGCAGACCUGUUGGUGCUAGGGCAGCUGCAGGACUUCGACGUUGUACUAGGUAUGGAUUGGCUGGCGCGGUACUAUGCUACGAUCGACUGUGGAGCGAGAACGGUGACGUUCCGCGAGCCUGGCCAGGAGGAGUUUACUUUCAGAGGCUGCAGGAGUACGUUGUUUGCCACCUGGAUCUCUUCGGCGAGGGCUCGACAGCUGUUGAGUAGCGGGUGUAUCGCUUUUCUAGCGACUGUUGUGGAGGUACCUACGGCGGUGCCGGGACUCGAGGACAUCCCAGUAGUCCGCGAGUUUCCGGAUGUGUUUCUCCCUGAGUUGACGACGUUGCCGUCGGAGAGGGAGAUUGAGUUUGUGAUUGAUGUAGUUCCGGAAACUGCACCAAUCUCAAAGGUACCUUAUCGGAUGGCGCCGGCAGAGCUGAGAGAGCUAAAGGCACAGCUUCAGGAUUUGAUGGAUAGAGGGUUUGUGAGACCCAGUGUGUCGCCUUGGGGAGCGCCGGUGUUAUUUGUAAAGAAGAAGGAUGGUUCGCUCAGGUUAUGUGUGGAUUACCGGAAGCUGAAUAAGGUGACCAUCAAGAAUAAGUAUCCCUUGCCGCGCAUUGAUGAUUUGUUUGAUCAGCUGCAGGGAUCUUAUGUCUUCUUGAAGAUUGAUCUCCAGUCAGGUUACCACCAGCUGAGGGUGAGGGCCGAGGAUGUUCCCAAGACGGCUUUUCGGACUCGGUACGGGCAUUAUGAGUUCACGGUGAUGCCUUUUGGAUUGACGAAUGCCCCUGCCGCAUUCAUGGAUUUGAUGAACAGAGUGUUCAAGCCGUUCUUUGAUAGGUUUGUGGUAGUCUUCAUAGACGAUAUCCUGAUAUACUCCCGGAGUGAUGCUGAGCAUGAGGAGCACUUGAAGAUUGUGCUACAGCUUCUGCGAGAGAAGAAGCUGUAUGCCAAGUUGAAGAAGUGCGAGUUCUGGCUACGGGAGGUUGCUUUCUUGGGCCACGUAAUUUCAGCCGAGGGCGUAGCAGUGGACCCGAAGAAGAUCGAGGCAAUUCGAGAUUGGCCUAGACCGACGACGGUGACUGAGGUACGGAGCUUCCUGGGACUGGCAGGAUAUUACCGUCGGUUUAUGGAAGGCUUUGCGAAGCUUUCCACACCUCUCACACGCUUGACUCAGAAGGGGAUUCGUUUUGUCUGGAGUGAUGACUGUCAGAGGAGCUUUGACAAGUUGAGACUGAGGUUGACGUCGGCUCCUAUCCUUGCCUUUCCGGUGAUGGAGGAUGGAUUUGUGAUCUACAGUGAUGCAUCGCACAGUGGACUUGGUUGGGUGCUGAUGCAGCAUGGUAGGGUAAUUGCUUAUGCUUCACGGCAAUUAAAGGAUUAUGAAAAGAAUUACCCUACGCAUGACUUGGAGCUUGCCGCGGUGGUUUUUGCUUUGAAGCUCUGGCGGCAUUAUUUGUACCGCGAGCACUGCGAGGUCUUCACCGAUCAUAAAAGUCUCAAGUAUCUGUUCACACAGAGGGAGCUGAACCUGAGACAGCGCCGGUGGUUGGAGUUAUUGAAGGACUAUGACAUUAGUAUUCAGUAUCAUCCUGGCAAGGCGAAUGUGGUGGCAGAUGCGUUGAGCAGGAAGUCAGUGCAGAGCCUGAGUUUGAGGAUUACUGAGCAGAGACCCCUACUCGAGGAGCUACAGCGGCUGGGACUCGAGAUAGUACCCCCUGGGUCUACGGCGAGGCUGACGUCUCUAGUGUUGCAGCCCACUCUGUUGGAUAGGAUCCGAGAGAAACAGAGUGGAGAUCCGUACUUGUUGAGGAUUAGAGAGCAGCUAGACAGGGGGCAGGCUGAGGGAUUUGCUUUGGACAGUUCGGGAGUACUACGGUACAUGGACCGACUGUGUGUGCCCGUGGAUCCUGAGAUUCGAGCGAACAUUCUGAGAGAGGCUCAUUGUUCCCCUUAUACGGUUCACCCUGGGGGAACCAAGAUGUACAAGGAUCUUAAGGCACGGUUUUGGUGGCCUGGAAUGAAGAGAGACAUUGGCAGAUUUGUGGCUCAGUGUUUGACUUGCCAACAGGUGAAGGCCGAGCAUCAGGUGCCUGCUGGUAAGCUUCAGAGUCUGCCAGUGCCCGAGUGGAAGUGGGAGUACAUCACUAUGGACUUUGUCGUUGGAUUGCCUAGAGCGCAGGGUGGCUACGACGCAAUUUGGGUGAUAGUAGACAGACUGACCAAGUCUGCUCACUUCCUACCGUUUCAGACUACCUGGUCCAGAGAGAGACUCGCGCAGCUAUACUUAGAUGAGAUUGUUAGGCUGCACGGCGUGCCAGUGUCGAUUAUAUCAGACAGAGACCCGAGAUUUGUAUCACAUUUCUCGAGGAGUUUGCAGACAGCCUUGGGUACACAGUUGCAUUUUAGCACGGCGUUCCACCCACAGACAGAUGGUCAGUCAGAGCGGACUAUACAGACUCUAGAGGACAUGCUGAGGGCAUGCGUCCUGGAUUUUGGAGGAGGGUGGUAUCGACAUGUGAGACUAGUUGAGUUUGCGUACAACAACAGUUAUCAAACGAGCAUUCAGAUGGCUCCGUUUGAGGCGUUGUAUGGACGCAAAUAUCGAUCCCCCCUGUUUUGGAGUGAUGUGGGUGAGCGGAGGAUACUUGGACCGGAGAUCUUACUUGAGGCUGAGGAAAAAGUGAGAGUCGUCCGACGACACCUUCUGACAGCACAGAGCCGACAGAGGAGCUACGCCGAUACCAGGAGACGAGACUUGGAGUUUCAGGUCGGAGAUCAUGUUUUUCUCAAAGUCUCGUCGUCCAGAGGAUACGCCGAUUUGGAGUACGUGGAAAGCUUAGUCCACGGUUUGUUGGCCCGUUCGAGGUAUUAGAGCGUAUCGGACCGGUGGCUUACAGGAUAGCUCUACCCCCGCGACUUGCUGGCAUCCAUGAUGUUUUCCACGUCUCAGCACUGAGGAGAUACGUUUUCGACCCCUCUCACGUGAUUGACUUCACUCCACUCGAGAUUGGCGAGGAUCUGAGAUACGAGGAGCGACCGUUGCGGAUUCUUGCUCGUGAGACGAAAGUAUUGCGCAACCGGGUCAUUCCGUAUGUGAAAGUGCAGUGGAGCCAUCACGAGAAGCGGGAUGCGACUUCGGAGCCUGAGACGGUGAUGAGGGAAGCUUAUCCCUACCUGUUUGAUGCCUGAGCAGAGGUAUGUUUCAGUUUCGCGGACGAAACUUUUAUAGAAGGGGAGGAUGUGAGAUCCCUUGUGUUCAGCUGUGGAGGCUUGCCGACAGCUCUGGAGAGUGUCGGGACAAGUCCGAGUCGCGUUGGCGUCAAAUAGACGUAAAACGGACUCCGUGCGACGCGAGGGCAGCUUAUAGCGAAGAAAUCUGCAAAACUGCAGAUUUCUCUGCUUGCUGUACUGGUACAACCAGCGUGGCUGUACCGGUACAACCAUCGUGCAGAGGAUUAGCAGCUCUCGGGUUGGCUCUUGUACCGGUACAAGAGCCCGUGUACCGGUACAAGGGGGUAGGUAGAGGGUUAAUUUGGUAAUUCCCUCCCUCAUUUGUUUCACCCCUCACUCCCUUCUAUGUAGCUUCAUGUAGAGAGAGAGAGAGAGAGAGAGGUCUUCUUGAUGCAAUUCUCCCUCUCUCACUCUCACUCUCAUCCAGUUGAAGGCUUAGGAGCUCGGUUGGAGUUUUGUCGCCGACGUCGCGCCGCGAGGCCGUUCGAGCUUGUGUUUGAGGCCGGGGUAGCACGUGGAGGCCGGGCGAGCAGGGAUUUUCGCCAUUCUUGCUGUCACUCGGGUGCUCGGUGUUGUCGAGGUGGGUAUUUCAUUAAUUCCUUGAUUUUUAGGCAAGUGUUUACUAUUUCUACUCGGAUAGUUAUUGUUUGCUGAAAUCCACCGUCGACUGUUAGUAUUUUAGCUCAUUCUCGACGUAGGAGCAUCGGAUUGCGACGAGACUUGGUUCGUUGGAUUCGGGACUUCGAGAGGAAUCCACUAAGCCCUUACCUGUGGUUUUUAGUGAAGGUUAGCUUGGUCGAAACCCUUCUCUUCUCUGCUGCUGUAUUUUUGGACUGAAUUGGGAAUUUUCGACGUUGAUAGCUUCGAGUUAGCGCGAUUCUUGGGUUCGAAGGGCUACGAUCGACCCAGCAGGUGGCGCCACAGCUAUGAGAGUAUACCGCUGCCAGGGGAUACCUUUCGAGGUGGGUUUACAUCGGUUUAUUCCUAAGUACCGUAAUCGUCGACAUGUAUGAUUUUUCAGUUUCGGUAAUCAUGUUGUAGCUUGAUAUUCGUGAUGCUAUCCUUGAUAAAAUCAGUAUUGAGAAUAUGACUAGUAAAUCUUAAAUGUACAUGUUGGACUAGGAUUUGACUUAGGAGAAAACACGAUUGGAAUCGUCAUAUACUUAAACUACCAGAUUUAGCUCUAGGAGCCGUGAUUCGAUUGUAUCGUUGCAGUAGCAGUGCGAUGAAUACCUGGGGUAGUUUAGAAGGCAUUUACGCUCGUGCUGGGAUGCCGAGCUUAUUUUUCAACAGAGUUUAGGCUGUUUCGGGUCGUUCGGUGCCGUUCGGGUUAGCGGUGGACCCAGAUUAUUGUUUUGGUCACAGAUUGUGCCGAGGGCACGGGGGUUUGGUUUGUAGACCUGUUUUGACCCUGUUCACUUGACUUUGGAUAGUUGGAGCCUGAUUGAGCUCGACAGAGAUACGCUGCAUACUCGGUUGGGUAGCGCCCACGAGUGCCACUCCGGAGUCAGGCUUUGUGCUUUCGCGUUUGUGUCGCUCAUGCCAGUUGGACUUGCUCUCCACGGACCAGUUAGUGUGGAUAGAGCCCGAUAGUCGCAACCGGGCAGGGACGGAUGUAUUCACAGUCCCGGGGACGGGUAUGCUUACAGUCCCGGUUGGAUUGGGUCAGAUUUGACAUUUCCUACAGUUGGUUAGUGUAGAGCAUGAUAGUGUAGUGAUCGAUAGCGGUAGAGUUACUUCAUGCUUUUCUGACUACUCUCGCUCCCUUCUGUAGACUUAGUGGGUGGACCGAUGUUGUUUUGGGCGGUACCCACUGAGGACUACUUCUUUUUACAGUAGUUCUCACGCCCAGUUGUUAUCCAUGUUUUUGCAGAGCCACAGGUUUCGGCUGCUGCGCCUUCCGCGGAUCACGAUCGAGGCAAGGGCGUCGCGAGUUAGAGCCCUACCCAUCGUGCUGAGCUAGAGAUGCCCCUACUGCAGGUAGAUGUUUUGUUUCGAGUUUCUGUACAUAGUAGACUUAACUCGCCAGUGCGAGUAGCUCUGUAUUUUGGAUUUGGACUAUGUAUACGAAACUCAGUUUGUUUAGCUUCUGUUUUCUCUAGCAGCUCUCUACUACUGUUCGUAGUAGUGUUUGAUUUACAGGUACAGCUGUCGCUUCGUAUACAGGAAAAAUUUCUUUGUAUACGGCGGAUUUGUCGGCGUGCCCGGGGAACGGGACAUCCGGGGCGUGACAGUGUCGGCGUAUUUUGGAUUUGGACCAUGAAUACGAAACUCAGUUUGUUUAGCUUCUGUUUUCUCUAGCAGCUCUCUACUACUGUUCGUAGUAGUGUUUGAUUUACAGGUACAGCUGUCGCUUCGUAUACAGAAAAAAUUUCUUUGUAUACGGCAGAUUUGUCGGCGUGCCCGGGGAACGAGACAUCCAAGGCGUGACAGAUUAAGUUUGUAUCAGAGCUUUGCUAUAGGUCGUUAGGACCUAGGAAACCUAAGUUUGGCAAACCUUAGGAAAGCAAGACGCGAGAGGCGUAAUUUAUUGCGAAAGUCAAUGAUUAUUUGUUCUAACUCCUCCUAGAGUUGAGUGAGUGACUGAAAGAGUGUCUGUUUUGGCCUGAGAAAUUAUGUUGGCUGCAGACGACAUAAUUUUGGAGGGAAACAGGGACCGCCUUCCAGACUUUCGUUGAUUGGGUCAAGAGUGUUUUGUUUCAACUGACCCCGAUCUAUUCCUUGCAGCUAUGUAUCGUCGCCGAGGUCGACCGUCGUUGCGAGAGCGUGCCCAGUUGGCGCGGGAUCGUGCGGGAUCCCCUGAGAGACCUGAGCAGAUGGAGCAGAGUACUCGGCAGGAGCAGGGUGACAGACCAGAGGCGAGUGCACCUCGAAUGGUAGAGCAGAGGGCCCGACCGGAGGCUAGCGCAUCCCCUGAUCUUAGUGCACAGUUGGCUGCCCUGACUGAGGUGACGAGGCAGCAGGGGGAGUUAUUGCAGAGGUUGUGUGAGAAGAUAGCUCAGCCACCGAGUUCAGUACCGAGAGUACCAGAGUCGCCAGUUCCACCCCCGAUUACUCCAGUGACCGCACUAGCUGCAGCAGUUCCUCCGUCGGCAGCAGUUCCAGUAGCGCCAGUUGCGUCUGCUAGUGAGUAUUACGGGCAUGGCUCAGGCUUUUCGGCAGAACCCUUGUAGGAGCCGGGAGUGGGAGUCGACCACCAUUGGACUGACCUCUAGUUAGAAGUUCUUCUGUAUUCUAGGGACGUCGACUAGUUUGUUUAGUAGUUACGCGCCGUUCCCUAUGAAUAAGAACUACCAGUGGAAUAAGUCGAAGGCCAUUAGGUGUGUAUUGGACUCGCUUGGUAGGAAGAAGAAAUGUUUAUUGUGGCCGCGAGGGGUUCCGCUGUGUGACCCAGAGUGUUUGGGAGAUAGGUAGUUUAGGACUUCGACACGGAAAUCGAGAGAGUCGAGACGGCCGCGGUAGGCUAUUCCAUGGAAACUCUAACCACGUCAAAGGCCUUGAUGUAGUUAGUGUUUGAGUUAGAGGGAGAGGCUGCCGUUGCAGCAGUUGAGUCCCUCUUUGUGUAGGCCUUUGAGCGCCUGAUGACCCUACAGGAGCUCAGGGCCGUGGCGGCAUCCAUGGAGGUGUUGUCAGCGAUCUUUUCGCUAUGUGGGCGAUGAGUUGUCGACAGCUCGGGAGCGGCUUCUCUAGGUCCACCGUUUGUUGCAUGAGGACGUCGGAGACUUUCAUUUGAGGAGGACCGGUCCGAGCGCCUUGCAGUGGCAAGAGCGAGGUGUCAGCUAGCAUCGUAUCAUGGCGCGGUCGGUUAGGUAUGGAUCAUGUUGCAGCUUCAGGACGUCGACGGGAUCGUGGUUGUCCAGACGCUCGUAUUGGGUUCUCAGAUUGACGUGGCCUGUCCUGGUUGUUGUGAGACAUUGGACGUUCUGUACCAGCCCCUAGACGUGGAGAGCACGGACGCUAUUCCUGAGAUUGAGAUCUGGUACGUUGUUACGUUUACGAGCCGAUUGUUUUCUUACGCUCCGAGGUCAUAAUUUUUCUCAUGCUCAUGCUUACGGCUUUUAGUUUCACUAUGGACGGUGGUGAGCCAGCCGACGGCAUCUCAGGAGGUGGACAUGACGUAUCUGAGACGGUGAGCCUCGGACGACAGCGGCGAGUGGGACAGCGCCGUGCCUUCUAGAUAGGAGGAUCGCCAUUGACCCACGACGAGACUUACUGGCGACUCCACGACCACCUCGACUUCGACUACUACCACGACCUCUACGACGAGCUCCUGUUCGACGGGAGUACACAGGGCCGACUGGUGUAGGCAUCGUGGCCGGGAGGGAGACGAGCGUGACAGACCCGGUCACACCAGGAGGCAUCUAGUGUGUGAUGCCGUAGGAGAGACCGACAGGGGAGACUGCUCUUAGGGAUCUAGCGACUGCGGGGCUCCUAGGAGCUGGGACGCUUGCGCUAGCACCUCCGGAGCCGCCCUCGGACGAUGAGCGGACUGGAGGCAGCAGACCUCGACCCGCGAAGGACAGGACUGAGACAGGGCCGGGGACUCGGGAGAGGGCGUCGCUGUGGAGAGGAGAGAGGAGGGUAUUACGGACGAGUUACCUACGUAGGUUUCAGGAGCUGGAGACGCGAGAUUGCUUGGACUUAUCCAGCCCAGAGUUUGGGACGAGCUUGUUUAUCUGGGAUACACGGAGCAGAGACCGGUGCUUGCCUUGUGUCAAGUCCUCGGAUCAUUUGAAGGCUUGUAUGAGGACUUGACAGGCGAGUGGGACGACCUAGGAGAAGUUUAGGAGGAGCUAGAAGACAAAGUACGACAACCCCUUUAUGUAGGGUAUGUCGUAAGGUGUCUUGAGUAGGGUGGAGUUGACACAGCGGUGGUCAGGGACCAGAGCGGAGCGAGACGCGGUGAUUAGUACACGUAGUGGACUGUCUGUCACAUGAGGGUUUCCAUGGACGAGGGUGAGACCUUGCUUGUCUAAGAACUUAUUGAAGAGGUAGCGUGACUGGAUAGGGAGUUGUUAGGUCCGGAGUCACGGAGACAGCAGCUUCUAGCCACCCAGUUUAGCUGCUUUUGCACGAUUGGAGAGGCAGGUCGCGAGGACGAGCCGGAGUCAGUUGCCAUGAGCGGGGNACGAGUGCCACUCCGGAGUCAGGCUUGUGCUUUUGCGUUGGUGUCGCUCAUGCCAGUUGGACUUGCUCUCCACGGACCAGUUAGUGUGGAUAGAGCCCGAUAGUCGCAACGGGGCAGGGACGGGUGUAUUCACAGUCCCGGGGAUGGGUAUGCUUACAGU
rnacentral:lncRNA from 1 species